rnacentral:pre_miRNA from 1 species
CAUCAGCCUUGUCACCAGGCAGUGUAGUUAGCUGAUUGACAAAGGCAACAGUCGCUAACAACACAGCCAAGUGAAAAGGCUGCCU